rnacentral:rRNA from 1 species
GACGAACGCUGGCGGCAUGCCUAACACAUGCAAGUCGAACGGAGAAUCACUUCGGUGAUUCUUAGUGGCGAACGGGUGAGUAACGCGUAGGCAACCUGCCCUUUGGAUGGGGACAACAUUCCGAAAGGAGUGCUAAUACCGAAUGUGACAAGAUUUCCGCAUGGAAUUCUUGUGAAAGAUGGCCUCUACAUGUAAGCUAUCGCCAAAGGAUGGGCCUGCGUCUGAUUAGCUAGUUGGUGGGGUAACGGCUCACCAAGGCGACGAUCAGUAGCCGGUCUGAGAGGAUGAACGGCCACAUUGGGACUGAGACACGGCCCAGACUCCUACGGGAGGCAGCAGUGGGGAAUAUUGGUCAAUGGGCGGAAGCCUGAACCAGCCAAGUAGCGUGAAGGAUUACAGCCCUACGGGUUUUAAACUUCUUUUAUAUAAGAGUAAUGUGCACUACGUGUAGUGUAUUGCAAGUAUUAUAUGAAUAAGCAUCGGCUAAC